rnacentral:tRNA from 1 species
GCCGCGGUCGCAUAAUCCGGUAUUGCGAGGGAUUGCUAAUCCCUUUUCCGAAAGGAUAUGUGGGUUCAAAUCCCACCCGCGGCG